rnacentral:rRNA from 1 species
AGGACGAACGCUGGCGGCGUGCUUAACACAUGCAAGUCGAGCGGAAAGGCCCUUCGGGGUACUCGAGCGGCGAACGGGUGAGUAACACGUGAGUAACCUGCCCUUAGCUCUGGGAUAGCUCCGGGAAACCGGGAUUAAAUACCAGAUACGACCACUUUAGACAUCUUUAGUGGUGAAAAGAACUUCGGCUAGGGAUGGGCUCGCGGCCUAUCAGCUUGUUGGUGAGGUAACGGCCCACCAAGGCGACGACGGGUAGCCGGCCUGAGAGGGCGACCGGCCACACUGGGACUGAGACACGGCCCAGACUCCUACGGGAGGCAGCAGUGGGGAAUAUUGCGCAAUGGGCGAAAGCCUGACGCAGCGACGCCGCGUGGGGGAUGAAGGCCUUCGGGUUGUAAACCCCGUUUCAGCAGGGACGAAGCGAAAGUGACGGUACCUGCAGAAGAAGCGCCGGCUAACUACGCGCCAGCAGCCGC